UCUUCUUCAUAUGGAGAAUGGAAUUAGAUACCCCAGUAGUCCUAUCUGUAAACGAUGGAUACUAGGUGCUGUGCGUAUCGACCCGUGCAGUGCUGUAGCUAACGCAUUAAGUAUCCCGCCUGGGGAGUACGUUUGCAAGAAUGAACCUCAAAGGAAUUGACGGGGGCCCGCACAAGCGGUGGAGCAUGUGGUUUAAUUCGAUGCAAAGCGAAGAACCUUACCAGAUCAUCGAAGAUAGUUUUCUUACUUUCUCUGG
rnacentral:lncRNA from 1 species